ACAGAAGUAGUGAAUGUUUGUUAGGUAUCUCUUAUUGGACAACCUUUACAAAGACAAGAACAUUCACUUCAGCAGUCUAAGUGCUUUUAUUAUCCGUGUAUCUAGUCACUUAUGUAUGGACUGCUUUCUCACCAGGGGAGGGAAGGAGAUAGGAAAGGAUUGUACAAGGCACCACUGCUUUUUUCAUAUAACCGUGCUGUGUUCACUCACCUUUGAUCAUUCCAGUCACAACUUUCAUAGGAGCUAGUUCAGCAUAACAAAGGCGUUUCAGAAAUGAGGAAAUGGUUGUGAGGUCUGGAUAUUGAGCAUGAGCUGUCAUGGAAUAACGUCCCUACAUAAUAAUUGAUUUUCAACUUAGUUUGUCAUAAAAAGUUCAUGUUGGUUUAUACAGAUUACUAACCAUAUUUAUCACAAUUAUAUUUUAGCAACUUGGGAUCAUAAAUUCUUUAUUAUCUACGUAGCUGGAAGAAUUUCUGCUGUUGUCUUACUGUUAGUUUUCCUACUGAUCUGCAUCACCACUGCUUAUUGCAAAAAUGGGAAAGUAAGUAAUACCAGCAUCUCUCUUGUAUGUUGGAAUUACAUAUUUUGGACUAUACUAUCACGUAUGAUGCAGUUUCCUGCACUGUGUUUCUGACUGAAUGUGUGUCAUCAGAAAGAAGAGGAAGAGGACCACAGAGGCCUUAUCAGAAGCUUUUUACUCUACUCAGAUACUGCCUGCUAACAGUUAUGAAAGAUCCAAUUUUCAUGGCAUAUGGAACACGGUAAGAAAAGGAGAAGAAUUGUCACCCUGGCAGACAGAGGAGAUUUAUGUCAACUGGAAAAAUGUGUCACACAAAUCUAAGAAAAGACCAUUAAAUUCCUUCCUAAGAAUGCGGUAACCAAAGCGCAGACCUUAUAUUUGCAGCUUAGACUUUAUUUCCUUUGUACCAGCAAGACAUGGAAGCAAAGCGGCUGUGCUGGGCACUGCCUGGCCUGCUUUGGCUGGACAGCCAGGUGUGUCUGCCUUGUAUUACAGCCUGUGGCAUUAAAGUAUCCUUUGAUUCAUAUGUAGAAUUAAAGAUUAUCUGUACUUCUGCGAUUUAAGCAUUUUUAUCCAGUAGGUGUACGCUCAAGUGAG
rnacentral:lncRNA from 1 species